rnacentral:rRNA from 1 species
AGAGUUUGAUCCUGGCUCAGGAUGAACGCUAGCGGCAGGCUUAACACAUGCAAGUCGAGGGGCAGCGGGGAGGAAGCUUGCUUUCUCCGCCGGCGACCGGCGCACGGGUGAGUGACACGUAUGCAACCUGCCCCUGUCAGGGGGACAACCCGCCGAAAGGCGGGCUAAACCCGCGUACAUGCCACCGGGGCAUCCCGGAGGCAGGAAAGGCUUCGGCCGGACAGGGAUGGGCAUGCGGCGCAUUAGGCAGUAGGCGGGGUAACGGCCCACCUAACCGACGAUGCGUAGGGGUUCUGAGAGGAAGGUCCCCCACACUGGUACUGAGACACGGACCAGACUCCUACGGGAGGCAGCAGUGAGGAAUAUUGGUCAAUGGUCGGGAGACUGAACCAGCCAAGCCGCGUGAGGGAGGAAGGUACAGAGUAUCGUAAACCUCUUUUGUCAGGGAACAAAGGCGGGGACGUGUCCCCGGAUGAGUGUACCUGAAGAAAAAGCAUCGGCUAACUCCGUGCCAGCAGCCGCGGUAAUACGGAGGAUGCGAGCGUUAUCCGGAUUUAUUGGGUUUAAAGGGUGCGCAGGCGGUCUGUUAAGUCAGCGGUCAAAGCCCGGGGCUCAACCCCGGCCCGCCGUUGAAACUGGCAGUCUCGAGUUGGAGAGAAGUAUGCGGAAUGCGCGGUGUAGCGGUGAAAUGCAUAGAUAUCGCGCAGAACUCCGAUUGCGAAGGCAGCAUGCCGGCUCCACACUGACGCUGAGGCACGAAAGCGUGGGUAUCGAACAGGAUUAGAUACCCUGGUAGUCCACGCAGUAAACGAAUGAAUGCUGGCUGUCCGGGGGGAUUGACCCCUGGGUGGCGAAGCGAAAGCGAUAAGCAUUCCACCUGGGGAGUACGCCGGCAACGGUGAGACUCAAAGGAAUUGACGGGGGCCCGCACAAGCGGAGGAACAUGUGGUUUAAUUCGAUGAUACGCGAGGAACCUUACCCGGGCUCAAACGGGGAGUGACUCAGGCAGAGACGCCUGUUUCCCACGGGACACUCCCCGAGGUGCUGCAUGGUUGUCGUCAGCUCGUGCCGUGAGGUGUCGGCUUAAGUGCCAUAACGAGCGCAACCCCCGCGUGCAGUUGCUAACAGAUAACGCUGAGGACUCUGCACGGACUGCCGGCGCAAGCCGCGAGGAAGGCGGGGAUGACGUCAAAUCAGCACGGCCCUUACGUCCGGGGCGACACACGUGUUACAAUGGGUGGUACAGCGGGAAGCCAGGCGGCGACGCCGAGCGGAACCCGAAAUCCACUCUCAGUUCGGAUCGGAGUCUGCAACCCGACUCCGUGAAGCUGGAUUCGCUAGUAAUCGCGCAUCAGCCAUGGCGCGGUGAAUACGUUCCCGGGCCUUGCACUCACCGCCCGUCA